UCACUUAACAGCUCUUUCAACAACCAAGAUAUCAUCAAGCGCUUUCGCGGCACAUAUUCACCCAUAGGAGUAGGAGAUGCAAGGCUGAUUAUCCUUUUGCCUUUUUUUCAGACAUUCCUUUUCGUUUUCUUAUUUUUUUUUUCACCGUAUCCACACCCAUACGCAUUUGCCUAGCCGCUCUCGCCUUCUCACGAGAGCGUGCUUACUAGCCGUAAUGGAAUAUCAACGCUUUAGGUCUAGACAACCUGCGUUCACUUUCUGUCUUCUUCUAUUUCGAAAGUCUUGGAAGAAGGCAUCAGGAGGGUGAGCCGGCGCUUCGCCGUUCCACCCUUGAUAAACCAGACUGUGUGGAUUAUCGAGGACUAAACUGCGCUGACACAUCUCUCCCGUAUGUUCUCGAGUUUUUCACGUUAGAUUCCAGUCAGUAUGAUGUGCACAAUGGAUGCCAUCUGUCAUUUUACCGUCUCUGCUUACUGUCAAUGUAUAUUAUAAACCAAUUCAUUACAUAUCUCAGAUCAC